rnacentral:misc_RNA from 1 species
AUAUAACGCGUACGUGUAGCGUUAGUGAAGAUGUGAUUGCGUUAGUAUUGUCGGUGUGAUGACGCGUUGCUAUAAUCUUUGGGUAAACGUUGGGUAACAAACAAACAUUUUUCCAAAGAUGCCAAUUUAUUGUGACGUCAAAUUAUGUUACAAUAACAAAUAUAUCAAAAAUCAAAGCAUAAAUAAUGGAGGACGAGUGACGUUUUUCGCGUUACCAAAAAAAGAGCAACUGUAUGCGCAAAAAAUGGCAUGAGUUCAUCCGAGCCAAGAAUCCGAACCGGCGAGAUUUUCGUUUCCAACAUUGAAUGGACCUGUUGACGGUAAUCAUCGCCAAGAACAGCUGCAUACAGAGUCUAAGGAUCUGCAAAUUUCGGCUCAAACAAGCUGUGUUGCGAUAGCAGACCAACCACACGUCAGCGGAAUUCCAUCGGAUGAUGUCAUACCCUCAAAAGAUGGACCUUCGACUACGCUGUAUAAGGAAAACAAGAACCCAGAUAUUCGUGGUAAGAUUGUAAAAAAGUAUUGAUAGGAAAAUCAGCGAAUGAAUUUGUACAUACAUUUAAUUUAAUUAACUGGAAGUUCACUCAAAAUUCAAGAGCAGGAAUUUUCUGCAAAUUGUACUGUUAGUUAAAAUUGACAUUUAUUUUCUAUUUAUAUUUACUAUUUACAACCUAUACACAAUUGAUAUUCAAAAUAAGCGUUCACUAUACAUAUAAAUAACCAAAUCUGAACUUCCGAGUUAUACAAUCACUAAGUUUUGUACAAAACUUGAAAAUGAAUUGAAAUAAAAUAUACAAAAUCACCAACAUUAAUGGUUCUAUAUGAUAAAGGCAAUGACCCUUUCAGUUCUUUGUAUAAGCCUUUUGUCAUAUGUUAGCAUAUUCAUUUAUAUUCUCAAAUUGUCUGGGUUGAUAUAGGUACGCCGGUUAUAAGAUCUUCUACAGAUGUUUACACAAGAGACACAUUUUAUGUAACCGUUAUUUACGAUACAGUAUUAUGUACCGAUAUAGAUUUUUAUUAAGAUUUGACAUCAUUGUUUACGUUUUUUAAAUAUAAGUACUUAUUUUGAUGUUACGUACUGAAGAUUGACUAUCUAAAUAUAUAAUUUCGAUACAA